rnacentral:lncRNA from 1 species
CUGAAGUCACAUGAGUGUUGCCAGCCGAAUUUGGGUACUUCCACUUUAAGUUCUCUGAUAAAGUAGCUUAAUGAUGGGGGUAUUUUAUUGACUCGUUUAAUAGAAUCAUAAAGACCAUAAAGCAACCUUGCAGGUUGCCACUUUCUCUCUUACUAACUGUGUGACGUUGGACAAGUCUUGUUACUUCUCCAUUUCCUUAUCUAUAAAGCAGGACAAUUCCUUUUGUAAAAAGAAAAAUGAUAGCAAAAUGUAUUGACUACAUACUGUGUACCAGACAUUGAGGUUGGUCCAGGGAAGUAAUCAAGGAUGGAACAAGCACAGACAGUCCUCUCAAGGAAUUUAAGACAACAAGGAGAAUCGAGCCAAGGAGAACAAUAGUAACACAAGACAGACAGGAGACGGGUCAGAGAAAUGCACGAACUGAAGUGUUGGAGCGUAGACCAUGACCACUUCCUCGUUGUCUGACUUUAUUCUGACUGGAAAGGCGUUCAGCAAAGGACUAGAUGGGUUUUGUCAUCAUCAGAGCUGCAGAACAUAUACACCUGAAUUUUGAUAUAUAUGAUAAAUAUAUGAACAGCAUGUUCUUGUCUCAGUAAGGACCACAAAUUAAUGCAUCUCCAGUGCUGAGCAUGACAUCUUGGGUCAUUUAACUAACUCCUUUGUACAGGUUACCUUCCUCUAUCAACACCAUAAAAAGGAGAUUGAUGGCAGCAUUUACAGUCACUGCAAAGACAACCUAAUGAGUGGAAGAAAGCACAUUGUCAAACAUUUUUUUCUAAGGAAGAAGAUCUUCUCACGGCUGGGAGCAGUCAUAUUCACCAAUGACAUUAAAGUUGGGUUCUUGACGUGUCAUCUUCAAAUGUGGUCACAUGCAGCGUCUCAGUGACAGAAAGUACUCGAUGGCUUUAAAUGUGCAUCUUAUUACUAAACUACAUCCCCAUACAUUAAUAUUUUAGAAUGAAUCCUGCAGUUGUCUCGUGAAU